rnacentral:rRNA from 1 species
AGAGUUUGAUCCUGGCUCAGAUUGAACGCUGGCGGCAUGCUUUACACAUGCAAGUCGAACGGUAGGGUAGCAAUACCUGAGAGUGGCGAACGGGUGAGUAAUGCAUCGGAACAUGCCUAUUAGUGGGGGAUAGCCCGGCGAAAGCCGGAUUAAUACCGCAUACGAUCUAUGGAUGAAAGCUGGGGACCGCAAGGCCUGGCGCUAAUAGAGUGGCCGAUGUCAGAUUAGCUAGUUGGUGGGGUAAAGGCUCACCAAGGCGACGAUCUGUAGCUGGUUUGAGAGAACGACCAGCCACACUGGGACUGAGACACGGCCCAGACUCCUACGGGAGGCAGCAGUGGGGAAUUUUGGACAAUGGGCGAAAGCCUGAUCCAGCAAUGCCGCGUGCAGGAUGGAGGCCUUCGGGUUGUAAACUGCUUUUGUACGGAGCGAAAAGGCUUCCAUUAAUACUGGGGGCUCAUGACGGUACCGUAAGAAUAG